AGCUCCAAUAGCGUAUAUUAAAGUUGUUGCAGUUAAAAAGCUCGUAGUUGGAUUUCUGACAGGAGUAACCGGUCCGUGCUUUCUAAGCUCGAGUUACUUGGUUUGCUCCAGUCAUCCUUAUGGAGAGCGUAUGUGACAUUAAAUUGUCGCGUAUGGGACCCAUAUCUUUUACUGUGAAAAAAUUAGAGUGUUUAAAGCAGGCAAUCGCUGUGAAUACAUUAGCAUGGAAUAAUAAGAUAGGACUUUGGUGCUAUUUUGUUGGUUUGCACACCAAGGUAAUGAUUAAGAGGGACAGUUGGGGGUAUUCGUAUUUAAUUGUCAGAGGUGAAAUUCUUGGAUUUAUGAAAGACGAACUACUGCGAAAGCAUUUACCAAGGAUGUUUUCAUUAAUCAAGAACGA
rnacentral:rRNA from 1 species